AACCUUUACACUGCACGACAGUGCGAUAAGGGAAUCCCAAGUGCGUAGGCAUAGAGCCUACGCUUUUGUCCACCGUAGGGAGGUGGACGAAUAAGGGCUGGGCAAGACCGGUGCCAGCCGCCGCGGUAAUACCGGCAGCCCGAGUGAUGGCCGAUCUUAUUGGGCCUAAAGCGUCCGUAGCUGGCCGCACAAGUCCAUCGGAAAAUCCACCCGCUCAACGGGUGGGCGUCCGGUGGAAACUGUGUGGCUUGGGACCGGAAGGCGCGACGGGUACGUCCGGGGUAGGAGUGAAAUCCCGUAAUCCUGGACGGACCGCCGAUGGCGAAAGCACGUCGCGAGAACGGAUCCGACAGUGAGGGACGAAAGCUAGGGUCUCGAACCGGAUUAGAUACCCGGGUAGUCCUAGCCGUAAACAAUGCCUGCUAGGUGUGGCUCCCACUACGAGUGGGUGCUGUGCCGUAGGGAAGCCGCUAAGCAGGCCGCCUGGGAAGUACGUCCGCAAGGAUGAAACUUAA
rnacentral:rRNA from 1 species